CAGAGUUAUCCAACUCCCAGACCCAUGUGAACUUAUCUCUUUGUUGCCUCGGCGCAAGCUACCCGGGACCUCGCGCCCCGGACGGCCCGCCGGCGGACAAACCAAAACUCUUGUUAUCUUAGUUGAUUAUCUGAGUGUCUUAUUUAAUAAGUCA
rnacentral:misc_RNA from 1 species